rnacentral:lncRNA from 1 species
AAAUUGCUUACUCAAGCCUUGGUAAUGGUGGAUGCCUCUCCCAAGGGGGUGGGACCCACUGAGCUAGACCACUUGGCUCCCUGGCUUCAGCCCCCUUUCCAGUGGAGUGAACAGUUCUGUCUCACUGGCAUUCCAGGCGCUACUCAAAUUAAUAUUUUUCAAGAACCUCAAUGCACACAAAAUAUUUGCACACUAAAUUCAUAAUGUGUAAAAAAGAUAAUGCAUCAUGAAGAAAUGUGGUUUGUCCAGGAAACGGAAGAUUGGUUUAACAGUUGAAAAUCAAUCAAUGUAAUUCACUAUAUUCAUUAAAAAAAGGAGAAAAAUUACAUUAGCAUCUCAAUAAAUGCAAGAAAAAAUGACAAAAUUGAAUACUCUGUCAUCAUUUAAAAACUCUCAGCGAACUUACAAUAGAAAGAAACAUCAAUCAGAUAAUGUGUAUCUACAAAAACCUUACCGUUACCAGCAUAUUUGGUGAUAGAAUAUUGAAAUCUUUUACCCUAAGAUCGAGACAAAUCUUAGCAAUUUUAUUCAAUAUUUUACUAGAGGUACAAGCCAAUACAACAAUGUAAGUAAAAGUAUAUUUUUAAAAAACCUCAGAUAUUGAAAAGGGAGAAGUAAAAUCAUCUGUAUUUUCAGACAACCUGCCAAAGUAAUCUACAGACCUCUACUAGAAAUAAUAUAUGUGUGGUAGACAGACUUUGAGUGGCACUUAUGAUUUGUACCUCCUGGUGUUCACAUCCUUAUGUAAUUCACUAUUCCUAUGGGCCAACUCACUGGCUUGCUUCUAGCCAAUAGAAUAUGUCAAAUAUUUGGGAUGCCACGCUUGAUUACAUUACAUUAUAUGACUGGUGAAGGGUGCCAUUUCC